UUACUUGUCUUAAAACUAACCUGUGCCCUUUUGAGAACACCAUUGUGAUUUUGAUGUUACAUUUCUGGGUUUGUUGUUGUCACAGUAGAGUAUUUAUUAUUCAUAUUAGACCUCAAAUAGAAGUACUGAGGUUGAGUUAAUGGUCCUGUAGACUGCAACCUUAAUUGCUCAGAGGCACUGUUUGAGGAAGCAGUGUACCCUGAGGACACUACGUCCUUAAAAGGAUAGGAAAAUUGACUCCUUAGCACAGUAUGGUUUCUGUCCAAGAAAUGUAUUCAGGUCUUGCUUAAAUAAGAACACCAAACACUCCAUGUUUCUUGCUGUGCUGCUAUUCCUUGUUAUCGUAGAUGUGCCGAAUAGUUGUCAGAAAUUAGUACUUUGUGGUUAUUGGAGAUGGUGAUUUGAAGAAUAAGAUUUCCGAUAUGAACAAAGUAAAAGCAUCAUCUGAAAAAAGGUGAGUUUAGUGACUUCUCAGCAUCAAGACAUUUGAGGUUUGUAAAGAAGCAGUCUUCAUGUUAAAUAAAAUAUUGUUUAUCCCUUAUGAGAGUGAGUUGAUGUUCUCCUCCUCCUCUACUCUGCCCUGGGGGGAUCACACCCGGAGCACUGUGUCCAGAUGUUCCUUCUGAGGAAGUUUACAUUGGUUAGCAUAAAGUAACUUCACUUUUAAUGGAUAAUUUUUCACACUUAAAAUGCACUCCAGCAGUUAUUCUCAAAUAUAUCCAUAUGUAUGUUAAUAUGCAUUCUAUUUGAAAGAAGUAUCAAUGAAUUUCAUAAUUUCAUGCAGGUGCUGGUGAAACAUUAAAAAGCAUUUUUACUGAAGGAAUUAAAGGACAACUUUAUAACAUUGCACAGGAAGUUACAAAAUGUUGUUAUAUAACAAUUCUACAGUCCAACAGAACAAACAAAUGAAAUUACAGAAGAGUUCGUUACUUUUGUGAUAGCUCAUCUUAACAUUUUAAAAAGCUAUGUGAUUAACUGUGGAAGGCCAUGUCACAGUUAGACAACAUCAGGAAACUGUUGAAGGACUUUCAGUUUUGUUCUUUUUGUUCUUUUCUUGAGCGAGCACAGGUUGAACCAUUUUGUUUCAGCAAACCAUCUGAUCUGGUGUUUUAGAAAAAUUGUCAGUGCAGCAAAAUAGGCUAUUUUGGCUUCAAUCAUAGUCCUCUGAAAUUCUAGUUCUUUUCUAAAUGAGUGAACGAAUUUGUGAGAAGUACUUGCUGUACUUUGGAUAAAUCUUACAUCUUGGGGUGGAUUUAAAAUUUGUAAGAGUGUUAUAUAGCAAUUUAAGUGAAAACAUUUAGAUUAGUCUUAUGUUUUGUUUCUCGUAGUAGUGGAACAGCUUGAUGUUAAAGACUGAUUAUUCUUGUUUGUGCAAAAGUUGUAACCAAGAAAACAGUAAAGAAACUUAUGUUUUUUGUUUAGGAUGUACCAGUUUCUUAGACAUUAUAUGCAGAGUCAGUCUCUUAGCAGUGGAUAUUCUUGGAAACACUACUGACUGUAGUACAUAAAGUAUUUUAAAAAAAUUAUAUUUUGCAGAAUGGCCACUUAAGUUUUUUUAUUAUUAUUAUUUUUCUUUAGCUACUGUGUUAAAAUGAAAGUUUAAUUCGCUGUAACUGAAAAUAAUUUUUUCCUAAGUCAUAAACACACACAAAAGUGAUUGAUUGUUUCCAGAGAUAAGAGUGAACCAAUCCAGAAUAUCAUCUUUCUAAAGACAGUGGUAACUGGGGAUGGUUGAAAGGAAAGUUAGUUUUGGAAAUGGUUUGAUUAGAUUAAAAAAAAGAAGGGGGUUGUAGGGGUGAGGGGAGAGAAUUCUACCUACUUUAAAUCAACUUUUUGCAGGAACACUGGAUUUACUGCAGGUAACAUGCUGGAAUGCACAAGACUUUGCUGUAGAGAAAGAAAACAUUUCCUGAUAUGUAAAUGUAUUGGCUAACAGCAAACAGCAAUUUCAGAGAAAGUAAAUACUGUUGGGAAACUGACUUCUUCCAUUUGACUAUUAUUUUGAAGCACUUCUUAAAGAUAAAUAGCCUAAAACUAUUCUGAGAUAACUGAUGUUUGAUAACAGCUGUGACAGAUGUUAGUUAUCUUUCUCAUCUUGAGCAGACACUUAGGUUUUUGCACAUAGUUUGAUAAAAGCACUGCACAGUGGGUAAUGGCAAGUUAUGAAUCUAGUACUUUUUCAUAAUCACAGCAGGAAUGCUUAAACAUUAGGGAGGCUGGUGGGGCUGGAAUGAAUGUCACUGCAAUGAGAGGACUUACUUAGAAAAGGUGUUUUCUUGUUGAGGAAGUUCUUUUUCAAGUAUUGACCUCUGUAGUCUACUCUUUGUUGUAUGGGUAACUGCUUCCAGUGUAUAGACACUUGCAGUGCAUACAGUCAGAAAUGUCUGCUAAGCUUCAUUUCAAGAUGCUUAAAGAAAAGUUGCCUACAUCUGUCCCAGAACUUACUUGUUGGCUUAAAAGCUCAUGGGAUUUAGGCUAAGUGCAGAAGGAUGGAAAUAGCAAAUGUAGUUCUUGUGUCUGUGGAAGUGAGGGAGAGGAAACUAAGUAACUGUAGAUCAGUCACUUCUGGUCUUCGCACAGGUUUCUGGAAGAGUUAACAAAACAGGUGACACUUUCAACAGGCAAACGUGUUUUGAGAUGUUCUUGAGAAUUUAUCUUGUGUUUCACAUGGGGAAGAGUUCCUAUGAGCAGGACAGAGGCAUUAAAUAGUAUGUACAUAUUAUUGUAAUGAAGCUUUAGACAUCGCUGUGUAUGAUAAUGCCAUCAGGAAGAUAAGGCUGCUGCUCCAUUUAAGUAUCCUAGAAUAAAGCACUGACUGAAGUGGUAGCACUCAUUAUCACAAAAAAAAAAAAUGUGCAGAGUUUUUCUGGAUAUGCUAUUUUUUUUUCUACUUCUGGUCAUAACUGAAUGAAAAUACUAUGAGGUUCAGCUAAUGAACUGAAAGAGCAAUACUUCUUAAAAUUACGGACAACUUGUAUUUCAAAAGAUCUGCAAAACAUUGGAGGACCAAAUGAUUUCAAAGUACUUUUGUGAAAUGCAGAAAAUGGUUUUUCAUUAUUUGAUGGAAAUAUUUGUGCAAGAUAGUAUAUUUCAAGAGAAAUAUUAUUGGGACAGAUAAAGAACAGUAGGUAUUCAUAUUUGUAGUGAGGAAGGACAGAAAUAUUAAGGUUAAACUGCAGUUAUCAAAACUUUAAAGUUUGCAAAGUAUUACAUUACAGUUGUUUUUGUUAUUCUGUCUCUGUUUUUGCAGGCCGUUAAGUACAGGUUGAUCAUAUAUCUGUCAGGAGGACCAAACAUGGUCUUGAGAAUAGUAUCAGUGACCUCACAAAUCUUAUUCUGGUGUUCUGUAGCUAUGUCUUUAUAACUAGAAAUGGUGGAAGCUAUGUAAGCCUCAGUGACUAUGAAGUCGUCUUAGAAGAAAGUUUUACAAUGGGUGAGGUAA